rnacentral:rRNA from 1 species
GAGUUUGAUCCUGGCUCAGGAUGAACGCUGGCGGCGUGCUUAACACAUGCAAGUCGAACGAACCUUCGGGUUAGUGGCGGACGGGUGAGUAACGCGUGGGAAUCUGCCCUCAGGAGGGGGAUAACGGUUGGAAACGACCGCUAAUACCCCAUAUGCCGAGAGGUGAAAUGAAUUUCGCCUGAGGAUGAGCCCGCGUCUGAUUAGCUUGUUGGUGAGGUAAUGGCUCACCAAGGCAUCGAUCAGUAGCUGGUCUGAGAGGAUGAUCAGUCACACUGGGACUGAGACACGGCCCAGACUCCUACGGGAGGCAGCAGUGGGGAAUUUUCCGCAAUGGGCGAAAGCCUGACGGAGCAACGCCGCGUGAGGGACGAAGGCCUCUGGGCUGUAAACCUCUUUUCUCAAGGAAGAAGAUAUGACGGUACUUGAGGAAUAAGCCACGGCUAAUUCCGUGCCAGCAGCCGCGGUAAUACGGGAGUGGCAAGCGUUAUCCGGAAUUAUUGGGCGUAAAGCGUCCGCAGGCGGCCCUUCAAGUCUGCUGUUAAAACGUGGAGCUUAACUCCAUCAUGGCAGUGGAAACUGAUUAGCUUGAGUAUGGUAGGGGCAGAGGGAAUUCCCGGUGUAGCGGUGAAAUGCGUAGAUAUCGGGAAGAACACCAGUGGCGAAGGCGCUCUGCUGGGCCAUUACUGACGCUCAUGGACGAAAGCCAGGGGAGCGAAAGGGAUUAGAUACCCCUGUAGUCCUGGCCGUAAACGAUGAACACUAGGUGUCGGGGGAAUCGACCCCUUCGGUGUCGUAGCUAACGCGUUAAGUGUUCCGCCUGGGGAGUACGUACGCAAGUGUGAAACUCAAAGGAAUUGACGGGGGCCCGCACAAGCGGUGGAGUAUGUGGUUUAAUUCGAUGCAACGCGAAGAACCUUACCAGGGCUUGACAUCCUGCGAACCUUUAAGAAAUUAGAGGGUGCCUUCGGGAACGCAGUGACAGGUGGUGCAUGGCUGUCGUCAGCUCGUGUCGUGAGAUGUUGGGUUAAGUCCCGCAACGAGCGCAACCCACGUUUUUAGUUGCCAGCAUUUAGUUGGGCACUCUAGAAAGACCGCCGGUGAUAAACCGGAGGAAGGUGUGGAUGACGUCAAGUCAUCAUGCCCCUUACGUCCUGGGCUACACACGUACUACAAUGCUACGGACAAAGGGCAGCAAACUCGCGAGAGCUAGCAAAUCCCAUAAACCGUGGCUCAGUUCAGAUCGUAGGCUGCAACUCGCCUACGUGAAGUAGGAAUCGCUAGUAAUCGCAGGUCAGCAUACUGCGGUGAAUACGUUCCCGGGCCUUGUACACACCGCCCGUCACACCAUGGAAGUUGGCCACGCCCGAAGUCGUUACUUUAACCCUUGUGGAGAAGGACGCCGAAGGUGGGGCUGAUGACUGGGGUGAAGUCGUAACAAGGUAACC